rnacentral:rRNA from 1 species
AUUGAACGCUGGCGGCAGGCUUAACACAUGCAAGUCGAGCGGGGGAAGGUAGCUUGCUACCGGACCUAGCGGCGGACGGGUGAGUAAUGCUUAGGAAUCUGCCUAUUAGUGGGGGACAACAUCUCGAAAGGGACGCUAAUACCGCAUACGUCCUACGGGAGAAAGCAGGGGAUCUUCGGACCUUGCGCUAAUAUAUGAGCCUCAGUCGGAUUUGCUAGUUGGUGGGGUAAAGGCCUACCAAGGCGACGAUCUGUAGCGGGUCUGAGAGGAUGAUCCGCCACACUGGGACUGAGACACGGCCCAGACUCCUACGGGAGGCAGCAGUGGGGAAUAUUGGACAAUGGGGGGAACCCUGAUCCAGCCAUGCCGCGUGUGUGAAGAAGGCCUUAUGGUUGUAAAGCACUUUAAGCGAGGAGGAGGCUACUUUAGUUAGUACCUAGAGAUAGUGGACGUUACUCGCAGAAUAAGCACCGGCUAACUCUGUGCCAGCCGCCGCAGUAAGAC